GGCUCCAUAGUGUAGUGGUUAGCGUCUGCUUUACAUGCAGAAGGUCCUGGGUUCAAGCCCCAGGUGGAGCCA
rnacentral:tRNA from 1 species